rnacentral:lncRNA from 1 species
AGGAAACAGAUUUUCAUCAAAACCCUGGAAAGCCAACGUGAGGAGACCCUGUGUGUCUCCUUUGUUAAUGACUCCGGGCAUCAUGGCAUGUGGAUUGCCAUGGAAUGGGGAUUAGGAAGCGCAACACUGUGAAAACACCGGAAAAUACGUUAUCAUAGCGGGUAAGGACGCUCAUCUCUGCACAUUGUGACGGUUUUGUUUCUGAGUCAGGUUUGAGAUGAGGCAAUCCUGACUCCAUGGUGCCACCAGGGAUCACGAAUUUAAUAAGAUCUUCGUGGAUGCUUGGAACCCAACUGGUCUCGGUUUUCUACUUUAGGGAAAGAGCCACAGCUUGAGUGGGGUGGUUUUGGUGUCACAUAUGCGAUUAAUAAUACCCACCGCUGCAGAGGAAUCACUGUGGACUACUCCUCCUUUCAUCCCAUGCUCUUGCAAUUGAUCCCUCUCACCUGUUUACUGAUUUCAUUCAAAUUCUUCAGCGACCACAGGACCCCGACUUGCCUUCUCUAUCCUGGUUCCCUCACUCUGCUUUACAGGCCUGGCCUGCUCGCUGCUCCUCACACCAGCGCUGCACGGCUCCCUCCACGCCUCCGCCGUUUCCUCCAUCAGACAGGACUAGCUUCCUCCAUCUCCGUCGGGCAAAUGCCUGCCCAGCGUUCAAGACCCUCCUCAGAUGCCGCCUCCACGAUUAGGCUUCUUUACGACCCCUGAGCCUGUAACACGGGCCACCAUAACUCUCCACCUCAGCCCACAUUCCCACAGCACUCGCGACGUCCGCGACCUUUAACAUGGCGCUUCAUUCUAUUUUAGGGUAUUUCCUGCUUGUUUCCUGCACACACAGUCGCGCGAGGCGCAGCCCUGAGUGACCCACGCACGAGUGGCCCGCGCUUCCAGCCGCGCCGCCGCAGGCCAGCGAGGGCAGCCUGAGCCGCUUCCCGCCCCCGCGAGGACCGUCGCCAGCCCGCUGCUCUAGCAGGAGGCGGUUCCACAGCGCGCCCGGCAGCCCAGCCACCGUCCGCACGGCGCCUCGGGCGCGCUUUUCUCCCUUCGGGGAGGCGCGAAUCCUCACGGGCUCCUCGAGAGGGCGCCAGGGAGCAGCUGCGCGCGGAUACCUUUUCGGCCCUCUGCGGCCGCCGUAGCUCCCCGGCAGAAACCCGGAAGUGGAACUCUCAGCCACUCAGCGUUUGGGUGAAGACGGAGGCGGGUUCUAGAGAGACGUAGGCUGUCAGGGAGUGUUUAUUUCGCGUCCGCAUCUGUUACUCCCCGCCCCUGUGCUGCUCCGGGUCACAUACUCGUCCAGAGCUGGCUUCAGCCUCUCCGCGCAGAAGUCUCCCGGAGCCAUGGCCGAGUACUCCUAUGUGAAGUCUACCAAGCUCGUGCUCAAGGGAACCAAGACGAAGAGCUUUUCGGACGCACUCCGCCCCCGCAAGUCCGGUGGAAGCCGUGGCGCGGAGAGCCGGCUUUGUGGCCUCCCAGGCUUCGCCCUGGCCCCUGUCCGGGCUGGACGGAGGCCGGGCCACGGUUCCUGGCGUCUGUGCAGAGAGGGGCAGCCUCCCGCGCGGACGACUCUGGAAACAGGAUAGACGGGCAGAAGAAGAAAAAGAGCAAAGAUAAGAAAAGAAAAAGAGAAGAAGAUGAAGAAACCCAGCUUGAUAUUGUUGGUGAGUCAGUU